UUAGCCAGGCGGGGUGCUAUACAUGCAAGUCGAGCGGACAGAAGGGAGCUUGCUCCCGGAUGUUAGCGGCGGACGGGUGAGUAACACGUGGGUAACCUGCCUGUAAGACUGGGAUAACUCCGGGAAACCGGAGCUAAUACCGGAUAGUUCCUUGAACCGCAUGGUUCAAGGAUGAAAGACGGUUUCGGCUGUCACUUACAGAUGGACCCGCGGCGCAUUAGCUAGUUGGUGGGGUAAUGGCUCACCAAGGCGACGAUGCGUAGCCGACCUGAGAGGGUGAUCGGCCACACUGGGACUGAGACACGGCCCAGACUCCUACGGGAGGCAGCAGUAGGGAAUCUUCCGCAAUGGACGAAAGUCUGACGGAGCAACGCCGCGUGAGUGAUGAAGGUUUUCGGAUCGUAAAGCUCUGUUGUUAGGGAAGAACAAGUGCGAGAGUAACUGCUCGCACCUUGACGGUACCUAACCAGAAAGCCACGGCUAACUACGUGCCAGCAGCCGCGGUAAUACGUAGGUGGCAAGCGUUGUCCGGAAUUAUUGGGCGUAAAGGGCUCGCAGGCGGUUUCUUAAGUCUGAUGUGAAAGCCCCCGGCUCAACCGGGGAGGGUCAUUGGAAACUGGGAAACUUGAGUGCAGAAGAGGAGAGUGGAAUUCCACGUGUAGCGGUGAAAUGCGUAGAGAUGUGGAGGAACACCAGUGGCGAAGGCGACUCUCUGGUCUGUAACUGACGCUGAGGAGCGAAAGCGUGGGGAGCGAACAGGAUUAGAUACCCUGGUAGUCCACGCCGUAAACGAUGAGUGCUAAGUGUUAGGGGGUUUCCGCCCCUUAGUGCUGCAGCUAACGCAUUAAGCACUCCGCCUGGGGGAGUAGGGUCGCAAGACUGAAACUCAAAGGAAUUGACAGGGGGCGCGCACAAGCGGUGGAGCAUGUGGUUUAUUCGAAGCAACGCGAGAACCUUACCAGGUCUUGACAUCCUCUGACACCCUAGAGAUAGGGCUUUCGCUUCCGGGACAGAGUGACAGGUGGUGCAUGGUUGUCGUCUCUCGUGUCGUGAGAUGUUGGGUUAAGUCCGCACCACCGCAACCCUUGAUCUUAGUUGCCAGCAAUUAGUUGGGUACUGUAAAGAUGACUUCGGUGACGACCGGAGGAAAGUAGGAUGACGUCGAUCAUCAUGCGCGUACUACCUUGCCCUAGCAGCGUGCGUUCCAUUGGACUGAGCCAUGGACUGCCAACCGCAAGCCUUAAGUGCAAUCCCGAUAAACCUCGUGUUUCUCAGAGAUG
rnacentral:rRNA from 3 species